rnacentral:rRNA from 1 species
UCCAAAUUUGUACCUUUAGGUACUUUUUUUGGGUCUGUCCGUGAUCUGUGGUAUAUUACCCGCCCUAAAUUAUUUGUUCGGAUAUUGUUUUUGAAUAUUUUUCAUGUAUCAAAACUCGUUAAAACUAGUUGGGGUAUCCAUAUAUAGCGGCGGAACUCACGGCGAAUGGAUCCAAAAGUCUUCAAAAAAGGAUAAAUAUGAUUUUAUUGCAUGAACUAACGGAUGUGAUCAUAGCAGCACUAAUGCACUAGAUCCCAUCAGAACUGCGCAGCUAAGCGUGCUUGGGCAAGAGUAGUACUAGGAUGGGUGUCCUCCCAAGAACGCCUCGUGUUGCAUCCCUCUUUUUUUUUUAACCUUUUUUUUUUUGGUUAAAACUUUAUGACUCCAUAACUUAUAGACUG